AGUGAACGCUGGCGGUAGGCCUAACAUAUGCAAGUCGAACGGCAGCACAGUAAGAGCUUGCUCUUACGGGUGGCGAGUGGCGGACGGGUGAGGAAUACAUCGGAAUCUACUUUUUCGUGGGGGAUAACGUAGGGAAACUUACGCUAAUACCGCAUACGACCUACGGGUGAAAGCAGGGGAUCUUCGGACCUUGCGCGAUUGAAUGAGCCGAUGUCGGAUUAGCUAGUUGGCGGGGUAAAGGCCCACCAAGGCGACGAUCCGUAGCUGGUCUGAGAGGAUGAUCAGCCACACUGGAACUGGAACACGGUCCAGACUCCUACGGGAGGCAGCAGUGGGGAAUAUUGGACAAUGGGCGCAAGCCUGAUACAGCCAUACCGCGUGGGUGAAGAAGGCCUUCGGGUUGUAAAGCCCUUUUGUUGGGAAAGAAAAGCAGCAGGUUAAUACCCCGCUGUUCUGACGGUACCCAAAGAAUAAGCACCGGCUAACUUCGUG
rnacentral:rRNA from 1 species